GUCGCAGUCUUACAGGCUGGAACCACAUAACUCAAUUGACGUUAGCAACCUCAGAGAACAACCGUGCGCAUGCGCAGUCUCCACAGAUGGAAAUUUCCCAGUGAGCAGGGACUAGUUAACUACUAAUAUUAGUUGCAGCAACGUUGCAGCAUCCUGCAUGUCAAGCCACAGCACCCCCUGAUGGCAAGCUACAAUGCCCUUGUACAGCAAUGUAACACCUC
rnacentral:lncRNA from 1 species